AACGCACAUUGCGCCCUCUGGUAUUCCGGGGGGCAUGCCUGUCCGAGCGUCAUUGCAAACCCUCAAGCCCGGCUUGUGUGAUGGGUCCCGCGUCCGCCUCCCAGGGCGGACGGGCCCGAAAUGCAGUGGCGGCGUCGCGGUAAUCCGAUCAGCCAGAGCGUAUGGGGACAUCUCGUCACACGCUUCAGGUGCGGACCGGCGCCCGCCCGAGACCAAAUCUCACACCAAGGUUUGACCUCGGAUCAGGUAGGGAUACCCGCUGAACUUAA
rnacentral:misc_RNA from 1 species